rnacentral:rRNA from 1 species
AACAGGAUUAGAUACCCUGGUAGUCCACGCUGUAAACGAUGUCGAUUUGGAGGUUGUGCCCUUGAGGCGUGGCUUCCGGAGCUAACGCGUUAAAUCGACCGCCUGGGGAGUACGGCCGCAAGGUUAAAACUCAAAUGAAUUGACGGGGGCCCGCACAAGCGGUGGAGCAUGUGGUUUAAUUCGAUGCAACGCGAAGAACCUUACCUACUCUUGACAUCCAGAGAACUUAGCAGAGAUGCUUUGGUGCCUUCGGGAACUCUGAGACAGGUGCUGCAUGGCUGUCGUCAGCUCGUGUUGUGAAAUGUUGGGUUAAGUCCCGCAACGAGCGCAACCCUUAUCCUUUGUUGCCAGCGGUUCGGCCGGGAACUCAAAGGAGACUGCCAGUGAUAAACUGGAGGAAGGUGGGGAUGACGUCAAGUCAUCAUGGCCCUUACGAGUAGGGCUACACACGUGCUACAAUGGCGUAUACAAAGAGAAGCGACCUCGCGAGAGCAAGCGGACCUCAUAAAGUACGUCGUAGUCCGGAUUGGAGUCUGCAACUCGACUCCAUGAAGUCGGAAUCGCUAGUAAUCGUAGAUCAGAAUGCUACGGUGAAUACGUUCCCGGGCCUUGUACACACCGCCCGUCACACCAUGGGUGUGGGUUGCAAAAGAAGUAGGUAGCUUAACCUUCGGGAGGGCGCUUACCACUUUGUGAUUCAUGACUGGGGUGAAGUCGUAACAAGGUAACCGUAGGGGAACCUGCGGCUGGAUCACCUCCUU